rnacentral:lncRNA from 1 species
GCGGGUAGGGGCAAACAGCUUCUGGGUGCUGUGGGAGCUGCUGGGCUCUGUUUGUUUCAAGUACAGUGGAGCGGUGCUGACCAGAUAGACCUGAGGAAUCGUAGACUGUGAAUCAAAGUUGAAACCAAGAAUUAUUUCUGAAAAAGGAUAUUUAUGGAAUAG